CGGUGCGGGCCGGUGCGGGCCAGUGCAGGCCAGGCCCGGCCGGGGCGAGGCAGGUGGCCAGGUCCGAGGACCGCGUCGCACAGCAGCUUUCAGGACCUGGAGAGAAAUCGAGACCCUGAUUCCUAGCCCUGGAGGCCAUCCAGAGCAUCUCAUCCAGGGAGCCGAGAGGUCCUUCCACCACCCCGCUGGGGUCCAGCGCAGCUGGGCCAGGAGAAGGGUGGUACAUCACUCCUGCGAGUCGAAGGCGAGACAGUGUGUGAAUGGGGCCUGGACUGCCCAAUUCCCUCUACCAAAGCAACUAGAACCUUCUUCUGCAUUAGGUGAUGGGUACCUGCGUGAGCUGUCAUUUGAAGACAGGGUUCCAGAGCACAAACAAAUUGGAGCCCCUGGUCCUCUCAGCUGGCAUCUGUGGAUUUGGCCUGCCUGGCGGGCCAGGCCAAUCAGAGAAGAGAAUGCCCUAUUGGGCACAGUGAUUGGGGCUCUGGCAUGGUCACAUGACAUGAGACAAGCCAAUAAGCAUGGAUCCUGAGAUUCUGCUUGGCGUCUCCUGGGCUGUACUUCCUGCUUUGUGCUGGGAUUGGGGCCAUGCGGCUGUAAGUCCAGAGCUACUGCAGGCCUCUUGCCACUGUGGGGAACCCAGCCUAGGAUGAAGCACAGGAAUGGAAACAGCUGAAAGAAGCAAGACACAGGGUCCUGACCACAUCUGUUGGAGCCUGGAUCCAACCUUGCCUGGAUCUGCAACCACUACUGAGCUUUUCAUGUACUUGGUGCCAAUAUAUUCCAUGUCUC
rnacentral:lncRNA from 1 species